GAUGAACGCUGGCGGCGUGCUUAACACAUGCAAGUCGAACGAUGAAGCCCAGCUUGCUGGGUGGAUUAGUGGCGAACGGGUGAGUAACACGUGAGUAACCUGCCCUUAACUCUGGGAUAAGCCUGGGAAACUGGGUCUAAUACCGGAUAGGAGCGUCCACCGCAUGGUGGGUGUUGGAAAGAUUUAUCGGUUUUGGAUGGACUCGCGGCCUAUCAGCUUGUUGGUGAGGUAAUGGCUCACGAAGGCGACGACGGGUAGCCGGCCUGAGAGGGUGACCGGCCACACUGGGACUGAGACACGGACCAGACUCCUACGGGAGGCAGCAGUGGGGAAUAUUGCACAAUGGGCGCAAGCCUGAUGCAGCGACGCCGCGUGAGGGAUGACGGCCUUCGGGUUGUAAACCUCUUUCAGUAGGGAAGAAGCGAAAGUGACGGUACCUGCAGAAGAAGCACCGGCUAACUACGUG
rnacentral:rRNA from 1 species